GACGAACGCUGGCGGCGUGCUUAACACAUGCAAGUCGAACGGAAAGGCCCUGCUUUUGUGGGGUGCUCGAGUGGCGAACGGGUGAGUAACACGUGAGUAACCUGCCCUUGACUUUGGGAUAACUUCAGGAAACUGGGGCUAAUACCGGAUAGGAGCUCCUGCUGCAUGGUGGGGGUUGGAAAGUUUCGGCGGUUGGGGAUGGACUCGCGGCUUAUCAGCUUGUUGGUGGGGUAGUGGCUUACCAAGGCUUUGACGGGUAGCCGGCCUGAGAGGGUGACCGGCCACAUUGGGACUGAGAUACGGCCCAGACUCCUACGGGAGGCAGCAGUGGGGAAUAUUGCACAAUGGGCGGAAGCCUGAUGCAGCAACGCCGCGUGCGGGAUGACGGCCUUCGGGUUGUAAACCGCUUUCGCCUGUGACGAAGCGUGAGUGACGGUAAUGGGUAAAGAAGCACCGGCUAACUACGUGCCAGCAGCCGCGGUGAUACGUAGGGUGCGAGCGUUGUCCGGAUUUAUUGGGCGUAAAGGGCUCGUAGGUGGUUGAUCGCGUCGGAAGUGUAAUCUUGGGGCUUAACCCUGAGCGUGCUUUCGAUACGGGUUGACUUGAGGAAGGUAGGGGAGAAUGGAAUUCCUGGUGGAGCGGUGGAAUGCGCAGAUAUCAGGAGGAACACCAGUGGCGAAGGCGGUUCUCUGGGCCUUUCCUGACGCUGAGGAGCGAAAGCGUGGGGAGCGAACAGGCUUAGAUACCCUGGUAGUCCACGCUGUAAACGGUGGGUACUAGGUGUGGGGUCCAUUCCACGGGUUCCGUGCCGUAGCUAACGCUUUAAGUACCCCGCCUGGGGAGUACGGCCGCAAGGCUAAAACUCAAAGGAAUUGACGGGGCCCCGCACAAGCGGCGGAGCAUGCGGAUUAAUUCGAUGCAACGCGUAGAACCUUACCUGGGUUUGACAUGGAUCGGGAGUGCUCAGAGAUGGGUGUGCCUCUUUUGGGGUCGGUUCACAGGUGGUGCAUGCCUGUCGUCAGCUCGUGUCGUGAGAUGUUGGGUUAAGUCCCGCAACGAGCGCAACCCUUGUUCACUGUUGCCAGCACGUUAUGGUGGGGACUCAGUGGAGACCGCCGGGGUCAACUCGGAGGAAGGUGGGGAUGACGUCAAGUCCUCAUGCCCCUUAUGUCCAGGGCUUCACGCAUGCUACAAUGGCCGGUACAGAGAGUGGCGAGCCUGUGAGGGUGAGCGAAUCUCGGAAAGCCGGUCUCAGUUCGGAUUGGGGUCUGCAACUCGACCUCAUGAAGUCGGAGUCGCUAGUAAUCGCAGAUCAGCAACGCUGCGGUGAAUACGUUCCCGGG
rnacentral:rRNA from 1 species